rnacentral:lncRNA from 1 species
GGCAACAGCACUACGUGGAUGAACACCGCUGUGCUCGUCACGUGCAUCCGUAACUUCCGCCGUAACCGCGGUCCCGUCUCUGGGAUCCUGAAAGGCUACGUCGGUCUCAGCACCGCCAUAUUUACCGACCUCUGCAGCGCCUUGUUCGCCGACGAUCCGGCGAAGUUCCUCUUCAUGCUCGCCAUCGUCCCCUUCGUUGUCUGCCUCGGCGCCAUCUUCUUCCUCCGCGAGACGACUCCGGCCUCCACUGUCGACGAGGAGAAAGAAGAAGCUAAAUACUUCUCAAUCAUCAACACCGUCGCCAUCGUCGUGGCGUUGUACCUGCAAGUUUACGAUUUCUU